rnacentral:rRNA from 1 species
GGGGGGGGGGGGGGGGGGGGGUGGGGCGGGGGGGGGGGGCGAGCGGACGAGGGGCUUGCGGCUCGGAUGUUAGCGGCGGACGGGUGAGUAACACGUGGAUAACCUACCUAUAAGACUGGGAUAACUUCGGGAAACCGGAGCUAAUACCGGAUGAUCUUUUGAACCGCAUGGUUCAAAAGUGAAAGACGGUCUUGCUGUCACUUAUAGAUGGAUCCGCGCUGCAUUAGCUAGUUGGUAAGGUAACGGCUUACCAAGGCAACGAUGCAUAGCCGACCUGAGAGGGUGAUCGGCCACACUGGAACUGAGACACGGUCCAGACUCCUACGGGAGGCAGCAGUAGGGAAUCUUCCGCAAUGGGCGAAAGCCUGACGGAGCAACGCCGCGUGAGUGAUGAAGGUCUUCGGAUCGUAAAACUCUGUUAUUAGGGAAGAACAUAUGUGUAAGUAACUGUGCACAUCUUGACGGUACCUAAUCAGAAAGCCACGGCUAACUACGUG